rnacentral:misc_RNA from 1 species
AUGUAAACAAUCAUUACUACGAGAGAUAGAAUCAGAUA